AGUGAACGCUGGCGGUAGGCCUAACACAUGCAAGUCGAACGGCAGCACAGUAAGAGCUUGCUCUUACGGGUGGCGAGUGGCGGACGGGUGAGGAAUACAUCGGAAUCUACUUUUUCGUGGGGGAUAACGUAGGGAAACUUACGCUAAUACCGCAUACGACCUACGGGUGAAAGCAGGGGAUCUUCGGACCUUGCGCGAUUGAAUGAGCCGAUGUCGGAUUAGCUAGUUGGCGGGGUAAAGGCCCACCAAGGCGACGAUCCGUAGCUGGUCUGAGAGGAUGAUCAGCCACCCUGGAACUGAGACACGGUCCACACUCCUACGGGAGGCAGCAGUGGGGAAUAUUGGACAAUGGGCGCAAGCCUGAUCCAGCCAUACCGCGUGGGUGAAGAAGGCCUUCGGGUUGUAAAGCCCUUUUGUUGGGAAAGAAAAGCAGCAGGUUAAUACCCCGCUGUUCUGACGGUACCCAAAGAAUAAGCACCGGCUAACUUCGUG
rnacentral:rRNA from 1 species